AUUGAACGCUGGCGGCAGGCCUAACACAUGCAAGUCGAACGAGUGGCGGACGGGUGAGUAAUGUCUGGGGAAAUGCCCGUGGGAGAGGGAUAACUCCUGGAAACGGUAGCUAAUACCGCAUACCAUCGGAUGUGCCCCGAUGGGAUUAGCUAGAAGGUGUGGUAACGGCUCACCUAGGCGACGCUCCCUAGCUGGUCUGAGAGGAUGACCAGCAACACUGGAACUGAGACACGGUCCAGACUCCUACGGGAGGCAGCAGUGGGGAAUAUUGCACAAUGGGCGCAAGCCUGAUGCAGCCAUGCCGCGUGUAUGAAGAAGGCCUUCGGGUUGUAAAGUACUUUCAGCGAGGAGGCGUUACUCGCAGAAGAAGCACCGGCUAACUCCGUGCCAGCAGCCGCGGUAAUAC
rnacentral:rRNA from 1 species